rnacentral:ncRNA from 2 species
UGUCAUGGACUUGCUCUCUUUGU